rnacentral:rRNA from 1 species
GAUGAACGCUAGCGGCGUGCUUAACACAUGCAAGUCGAACGGAAAGGCCCAAGCUUGCUUGGGUACUCGAGUGGCGAACGGGUGAGUAACACGUGGGUGAUCUGCCCUGCACUUCGGGAUAAGCCUGGGAAACUGGGUCUAAUACCGGAUAGGACCACAUUUUGGAUGGUGUGGUGGAAAGUUUUUCGGUGUGGGAUGAGCUCGCGGCCUAUCAGCUUGUUGGUGGGGUAAUGGCCUACCAAGGCGUCGACGGGUAGCCGGCCUGAGAGGGUGUACGGCCACAUUGGGACUGAGAUACGGCCCAGACUCCUACGGGAGGCAGCAGUGGGGAAGAUUGCACAAUGGGCGCAAGCCUGAUGCAGCGACGCCGCGUGGGGGAUGACGGCCUUCGGGUUGGAAACUCCUUUCGCUAGGGACGAAGCGUUUUUGUGACGGUACCUGGAGAAGAAGCACCGGCUAACUACGU